GACAGAGGGUGCAAACGUUGUUCGGAAUUACUGGGCGUAAAGCGCGUGUAGGCAGCUCGGAAAGUCGGGUGUGAAAGCCCUGGGCUCAACCUAGGAAGUGCACUCGAAACUUCCGAGCUGGAGUGCUGGAGAGGAAGGCGGAAUUCUCGGUGUAGAGGUGAAAUUCGUAGAUAUCGUAAGGAAGACCAGUGGCGAAGGCGGGUCUCUGGACAGUUCCUGACGCUGAGGGCACGAAGGUCAGGG
rnacentral:rRNA from 1 species